ACUCCAAAACCCCCAAGUUUCGAGUCGUUCCGAGCUACGGGCUGUGCGUCGUGCUCCGCCGAAGUUUCUACCCUACUAUAGGGCCAGAUUCUGGAAUCCUGUUGAAGAGAGGAAAAUUGAUGCAAUCAAGGACAGAUUUAUGUAGCUUCGUACCACGGUAGUUAGCCCUUCGAAGAAGGGAGGGCUUCGCACCCAAUUAGGUUUUCAUAACUCGGAAAGGAGCAAGAAAACGCAACAAUUUUUAUUAAUCUUCAUUGAAUAAAAAAAACUACAAGGGGUGCCUAUUUAUAAGAAAACCCCAUACCCCAAAACUCGCGCCAUGUGCGCAACCUAUUACUUGGCGAUGAAAUAAACCAAAAUAAAAACUAAUCAAAGAAAUCUAAAGCGUCCAUAAUAUUC